rnacentral:rRNA from 1 species
AAACCCAUWCNCGUAAUGAAAGUGAACNNAGGUNAGAACCCUUAAGGGUGCAUCAUCGACCGAUCCUGAUGUCUUCGGAUGGAUUUGAGUAAGAGCAUAUUGGGUGUGACCCGAAAGAUGAUGAUCUUUACGUGAAUAGGGUGAAGCCAGAGGAAACUCUGGUGGAGGCUCGCAGCGGUUCUGACGUGCAAAUCGAUCGUCAAAUUUGCGUAAAGGGGCGAAAGACUAAUCG